rnacentral:rRNA from 1 species
GACGAACGCUGGCGGCGCGCUUAACACAUGCAAGUCGAGCGAAGCGGCGGACGGGUGAGUAACACGUGAGUAACCUGCCUUAGACAUUGGGAUAGCCUCGGGAAACCGGGAUUAAUACCAAAUGGUCUAAGAUGGACUCGGGUAACAUUAGUUAGUUGGUGUGGUAACGGCCCACCAAGGCGACGAUGGGUAGCCGGCCUGAGAGGGUGGACGGCCACAUUGACACGGAGAAACGGUCCAAACUCUACGGGAGGGAGCAUUGGGGAAUAUUGCACAAGGGAGGGAACUCUGAUGCAGCGACGCCGGGUGAACGAAGUAGGCUUUCGAGUCGUAAGGUUCUUUUAUAUGGGAAGCGGUACCAUAAGAAAAAGCCCCGGCUAACUACGUGCCAGCAGCCGCGGUAAUUC